rnacentral:rRNA from 1 species
CCUACGGGAGGCAGCAGUGAGGAAUAUUGGUCAAUGGGCGCGAGCCUGAACCAGCCAAGUAGCGUGAGGGAUGAAGGUUCUAUGGAUCGUAAACCUCUUUUAUAAGGGAAUAAAGUGUGGGACGUGUCCUGUUUUGUAUGUACCUUAUGAAUAAGGAUCGGCUAACUCCGUGCCAGCAGCCGCGGUAAUACGGAGGAUCCGAGCGUUAUCCGGAUUUAUUGGGUUUAAAGGGUGCGUAGGCGGCCUUUUAAGUCAGCGGUGAAAGUCUGUGGCUCAACCAUAGAAUUGCCGUUGAAACUGGGAGGCUUGAGUAUGUUUGAGGCAGGCGGAAUGCGUGGUGUAGCGGUGAAAUGCUUAGAUAUCACGCAGAACCCCGAUUGCGAAGGCAGCCUGCCAAGCCAUGACUGACGCUGAUGCACGAAAGCGUGGGGAUCAAACAGGAUUAGAUACCCGAGUAGUC